rnacentral:rRNA from 1 species
UACGGAGGAUGCGAGCGUUAUCCGGAUUUAUUGGGUUUAAAGGGUGCGCAGGCGGUCUGUUAAGUCAGCGGUCAAAGCCCGGGGCUCAACCCCGGCCCGCCGUUGAAACUGGCAGUCUCGAGUUGGAGAGAAGUAUGCGGAAUGCGCGGUGUAGCGGUGAAAUGCUUAGAUAUUGCGCAGAACUCCGAUUGCGAAGGCAGCCUACCGGCUUCUGUCUGACGCUGAGGCACGAAAGCGUGGGUAUCGAACAGG